AAAGCAAGUAUAAAGAAACUCUACUUGAGCGUCAAGUUCUCCUUUGUUUGCCAGGACUUCUGUGCAGAUGACACUUCCUUCACGACGUCAUCCACAGUGCUCUGAUGUCAUUCUUCUGACAAACAUAAAGGAGCUUUGGUGCUUUGGGAGGACCAUGGACAGCACUUUAGACUGGAUGCAUUAAUGUGAGAGUGGUCAGUGAGCGAUUGCUGAUCCUGGAGGGUGAUAAAGAGCAGGAGCCGACUGCAGAGCUGAAUAACGAGAAGCCGGGGCGCAGAUCUGGAGGACACAGUCUGCAGAGAGAGCAUUUGAGGCUCUGGGACCUCAAACCUAAAGUGAAUUUCAACAGAACACUGAGAUAUAAUUCCCUUGUUGGUCUGGAAUUGAAGUACCAGCGGUAGUUUGGAUGAAUCCUGCAUACAACAAGCGGAGCACACACAUCAGUUGGACAAACAGGUGUGUUGAUCAGGAGAUAUGCAAAUCAACUAAUCCACACUAUAUCUUCAUUAUCUCGGCUUCUGUAUACUGUACGGACAUUCCAGGGACAACCUUAUCUCUCACUGCAGGGUUGUCUCUCCUUGUUUUGUCAAUACCACCUUUUCAAGCAUGUACUUGUGGCAGAACUUGCAAACUCUUUGGCCACAUACACUCUACAGCUAAAUACAUAUAUCACUCGUCUUUUAAGUGCUUAAUCCUGUUCUGUACAUGCAAAACAGAAUUCAAUCCCGAGAAAUUCAGAUAAUUUUAAUUUAAGGAAUGUUCCAGGUUCAAUACAAGGCUUAAUCGCCAGUAUUUGUAGCAUAAUAUUGA